rnacentral:rRNA from 1 species
UACGGAGGGGCUAGCGUUGUUCGGAAUUACUGGGCGUAAAGCGCACGUAGGCGGCUUUGUAAGUUAGAGGUGAAAGCCCAGGGCUUAACCCUGGAAUUGCCUUUAAGACUGCAUCGCUAGAAUCGUGGAGAGGUAAGUGGAAUUCCGAGUGUAGAGGUGAAAUUCGUAGAUAUUCGGAAGAACACCAGUGGCGAAGGCGACUUACUGGACACGUAUUGACGCUGAGGUGCGAAAGCGUGGGGAGCAAACAGG